AUUGGAUUAGUUAUAUAUUAUUUGUUAAAGUUAUUAUUUGUAUUUAUUAAAUGAAAUAACAAUUUUAUUUUAGUAUUUUUUAUUGAAUUUAUUAUUAUAUGAUAGUUAAUUUGUACUGUAAAGGGUAUAAUUUUAUUAAUGUAAAAGUAGUUAUUUCGUUUUGUACCUUUUGUAUCAGGGUUUAAUUAUAUAUUUUAUAUAUAAUAAUUUUCUCGAAAUAAAAUGAUCUAAUUUCAUAUAAUUUUUAUUAUUACAUAAAUAUAUUUAAUAUGGAAUUAGGUAUUAUAGGUUAUUCAAAUUUUAUAUAUCUAGUUUUUUAAUAAAUGAAUUUAAUUCAGAAUAAGGGAAAGCACAUAUUAAUAUUUUAUUUUAUUUUGUUUUUUUAUUUAAUAUUAUAGGGGAUAAUCUUUAUAAUAUUUUUAUAAUUUUUACAUUAAUUAUAAUUUUGUAGGUUUAGAAUUAAUCAUCAUUUAUAAUUUAAUAGUAAAUUUAUUUUUUAGAAAGAUUUAUUUUAAUUUAAUUUUUUAUUGAAAGAAUUUAUUUAAUAGAAUUAUUUAUUAUAUAAUGUUAAAAUUAGUAAAUAAUAUAAUUAAUAUAUUAAUAAUUCGGCAAAUAUUAUAUUUGCCUGUUUAUCAAAAACAUGUCUUCUUGUUUAUUAAUUUGAAGUCUAACCUGCUCUAUGAUUUUUUAUUAAAUGGCCGCAGUAUUAUGACUGUGCAAAGGUAGCAUAAUCAUUUGCCUUUUAAUUGGGGGCUGGAAUGAAUGGUUGGAUAAAAUAUAUACUUUUUUAUUAUUAAUAAUAUUUGAAUUUAAUUUUUUAGUAAAAAAGCUUAAAUUUUUUUAUGGGACGAUAAGACCCUAUAGAAUUUCAUAUAACCAUUAUAUGAAAUAUUAAUAUUUCAUAUAAUGGUUAUAUUAUAUUGGGGUGAUAUUAUAAUAUAAAUAACUUAUAUUUUUAUUGUUCAUUAAUUAAUGUUUUUUAUAUUGAUCUAAUAUUAUUGAUUUAUAGUUUAAAUUACCUUAGGGAUAACAGCGUAAUUUGGGUGGAGAGUUCUUAUUUAUAUCCAAGAUUGCGACCUCGAUGUUGAAUUAAGAUUAGGGGUGGGUGUAGAAUUUCACUUUUACUUGGUCUGUUCGACCAUUAAUAUUCUUACAUGAUUUGAGUUCAGACCGGCGUGAGCCAGGUUGGUUUCUAUCUUUAAAUAGUAUAAAUAUUCUAGUACGAAAGGAUUGAAUAAUUUUUAAUAUUUAAUUUAU
rnacentral:rRNA from 1 species